rnacentral:misc_RNA from 1 species
GUACCGGGCUUUAUAGUGUAACGGGACUUUUUUUUUACAAUUUAAGAAUCAAGAAACCUGAAAUUUGUAGAUCGACUAGGCCUUGAGAUUUUCUAUUUAUUCCACAGUAUUUAUUCCUUUGAGCCUCGUGAAAAUCUAUUUAUUGUAGAUAUUUCCCUAAAAAGUACCGUAAAAAAUUUAAGUUGUUUUUUUAUUUAAUUUUUUAAUUUUCAAAAUUUUUUGGGGCUUUGAAAAAUUAAAUCAUGACCAGAAGCGGCACUAAGAAGUGGAUGCCCCUGCCACCCCAUCGCGAAGGUCGAGCAAGAGGAUCCAAGGCAGGAAGCCAGGGCAUGUCCUCAGUUCGAGCCUCCUGCGACGCAUUUGUCGCAUGCCGCCCGAAGGAAAAAGGGCCUAUACGAAGGCGAAGGUCUGGUACCUCAAUCCUCAGUUCAGAAAAGACCACGAGGCUGGCUCUAGGUCCGUUUGCAACGUGUGCCGCGAGGUGCAUCCGCCGCGAGGGUCCGACGAGCAGGCUCCGGUGAAAGUUCAGCAGGAAGUCCAAACAGAGAAAGUCUGCAGCUGCAGUUCCAGUUGCGGUUCCAGUGGUGAUCAGACUAGCAAGGAUUAAGCCCAUUGAAGGUCUCUUCUGCCAGUCUAUAGACAAUCUCUACUCGUGAGAUCUGUUCAAUAAACAGCGUGUUUUAGGG